UACCAACCGGGGAAAUAGCGGCGCCCUGUACCUGAAAUCCGCUAUAGCAGGGGUGGAUUCCCGGGACGAGGGCAGAACUUGUGAGGUCUUUGCAUCGUUGCGGACUGUGGUGACGAAUGGGUCUUGUGCGAUUGACGGCUGUGAACCAUGUCAGGUGGGGAACCAAGCAGCAUUAAGCAGUUGAGUUGAUGCGCCACGAGGUCGCCUGUUCUGAGCAGGAAACACGAUUGCGCUCAUGAUCU
rnacentral:SRP_RNA from 1 species